rnacentral:other from 1 species
UACUGGCUGUGACUACACUGACUUGGACACUUGGCCUUUUGCGGGUUUGAGAGGUAAGCGUCGCGGCCUGCUUCCAGGCCUACCCUGAUUUUGGUUCGUGGCUCCUCCUGACCCUGAGACCUCUGUCGCCCUCAGAUCAGAACCGUCGUCGCGUUUCGGGGCUACAGCCUGUUGCUGGACUCUGUGAGACACCUGACCGACCGCUGAGCGACUGACUGGUCCACAGCGCCGGCAAGAUGAAGUUCACUGUGGUGGCGGCGGCGCUGCUG